AAGUAACCCCGGCUAAAGUUUGUACAAUUAGAACCCAUCCGCUUAAAGUAGACUUUGUGCUUUCGGCUUCUCCUUUCCCUUCGCUGCGAGGAUGUGUGUUGUAAGAGGAAGUAAUAAACAUUUCAGCAACUUCUGCACCUGAUGAAGAGUAAAAAUUAAAGACAGUACAUAAGAGACCCUCACAUCCUUUUCUCCCAGCAAAAGCUUGUUUACAUGAUGUUCAUGAAAAAGAAGUGAUUUUGUCCCAUAAUUAAGAACCCAAUAACUUCUCAAGGCAGCAGAUUUUGUUUAUGAUUUUCUCACAAAUAUUUUUGACAGCACUGACAUUUUUGCAAGCAUGACUAACUACACAUUUACCCAGUCUCACUUUUUUGUUUGUUUGUUUUUGGCACUCUAAUGUGCUAAAGAUAAUGUAAGCUAAAAAUUCCUACAUUUGGCAAGGGGUUUGCUGUAUGUCAAGAACAGUUUUCAUUUAUUUUAAAAUAAAAGUAGAUGGGCAAGGUUUGAAAUGACACCUGCUAAACUUUUACUACAAUUAGUAGUGAUGAAGAACAUUCAUUCAAUCAUAGAAUGGAAUCAUAGAAUCACCAAGGUUGGAAAAGACCCACAGGAUCACCCAGUCCAACCAUCCACCCAUCACCAACAGUUCUCACUAAACAUCGUCCCUCAACACAAUGUCCAAACGUUCCUUGAACACUUCCAGCGUCGGUGACUCCAUGGAAUGGAACCAUUCAAAACUUUGCACCAUUCUUCUUUCGUAAUGUUAGAUAUGGCACCAGUUUUAUUGCUUUGGUUACUUUCUCUGUGAAAUGAACUUCAUUACUUACUUCACAGGAGUAUCUGCAGCCUAAAUCAUUGUCACUCAUGUAUUACUGAGCAGAGAAGGGACUUUAGCACACAGCAAAGGCAGGAGGCUCCUGCAUUCAGCUUGUGCAUGCAGGGUGCUCACAAGGUGCGUGUACAUGGCUUGACUCAGCAGACAGCUAAGAACAUGGGAUACCUUUGCUCACUUGGAAAUGUAUUCUUAUGCCACGUGUACCUCCUCCGCUCCUGGUGGACACGGGUACUUCAAGAAAACACCUCAUAACACAGAGGAAACACCCCAUGCCAUAUGAAUCACCCAGCAGGAGUACAGGAACUGUUUCUCUUGAUUUUCCAGUCUAUGCCCAGUGUGUUCUUCUGGCUUAUAAUACUGUACUUGUAAUGUGUGUGUCUCAGAGAUGAUACCUGCCAGCGCUUCCCACACAGUGCCAUUGAAGAUAUCUGCUUAUUGUUUGUUUUAGGCGUGGAGGAGGUAAGUGGUGUCUUGGAAACUGUUGUGUGCAAACCAUAGACAAAUGCUGGAGUUUCUGAAGGCAUUGUCUGACAGUUUUAAUGAGUUUGAUUGCUAUGUACUACUGACCCCACAAACCCUCUGUCACCAUGCCCCUGUGCCACCUUUAGCUCUUUCUGUCCCCUCCAAAACCUCCUGCUUUUUAGUAUGCCAGUACAACGCUCCUGCCGAGCAGCUGCCUGUUUGGCAUGACUCAUGCCAGACAUUUGGCUAUUUUGGACAAAUGGGGAUAUGCAAUUUAUCCCAGAUAGCUGCCUGCCUUGGAUAGCACAUUGUCCUGAAUAAUGAAAGUACUAUCAGCCUAAAAAUCCUUUAGAAUUCUUCUGCCUGUAUCCACACAUCACAGUAAAGAAAGCAGGAAAUAACAUGCAAAUAACAAUUAAUACAGCAGAUGAGGAGAGAUGCAUUUUGGAAAUCCUAACUUGCUUGUAUUUGGUUUCACCUUACUGAAGCCAAUUAGAAAACCCCCCUCCAGCAGGGCAGGGCUGGCUGACCACAGCAGGAUUCCCUCUGGUGUUCAGAGCCACAUAACUCAAACCAAUGAGGAGCACUCAGGAAAUUUCCAGGUACCCCCAGUGACUUCCAGAGAACCUUCACUGCUCCCUGGGUCACUGCUGGUUCACUUGCAAUAGAAAUGUUUCUGAAUGUUUUUUAUUAAGCUGUUGAUUCACAGCCCAGAAAGAGCAACUUGGUCCUGAAAAACUGCAGGAGUUGUUCUAUUAAGGGAAAGAAAAGGAAAAAAAGAAAAAGAAAAAACAGACAGUUCAGGUGUAAACUAGGACUUGUUUUGCUUACCUGGGGAUGCCAAGUGAAGGAUGUGAAAACUGGAGAGUGUCCUGAGAGUUUAUAGAGUCUCACACACAGCUCAAAGGGAUCUGAAAGAACUUUCUGUCUUGGUACAGACCCUCCUGGGAGAAUUUAUUUAUUUAUUUAUUUAUGCUUUUGCUUUUUGUUGAGUGUCAUGAUCUUUUAAUGGAGCCAUUGUAAUUUAUAGUAGAUCGCUGCCUAAUGAUGAAUGAUAGUUUGACGUGGUUUGCUAAUGAUGGAUUUGAUUACACUGUGUGUGUUGUAGAGAUGAUUUUAUCUUGUUCUAAUGGGAGGCUCAGGUUACCAAGAUGUUUUUAUAGCUUUUUUAUCAAAUCACCAUUUUAAAACGUGGGAUUUUUCUACUUCUAAAUCUUCAUUAAUUUUAAACUAGUUGUUAAACACGAUUAUUUUAGAACAUUGCUGCUACUGCCCUAUCUGCCUAUUUGUCAUCACUUCCUCCAGUCACAUUUCCAUUGGCUUCAGAGUGUGAAGGGAGAGAGUUGGAUAUGAAAGGAAUGUGGGGUCAGACCCGGAGAGAUGGAUGUAUAGAUGGACCCACAUCAGGGCCAGUGCCCUUGGUGAACAGAAGGGUGAGCUGGUGAUAGCAAGUGGUAGAAGCCAGCAGAGGGAAUUGGUAGUGAAUGGGAGCCUCUCACAUGGAUUAACCUGCCAGGAUUGUUUUUGGAAUCUGUUCUGCAAUCACUUCAGUGACUCAUGGAAAUCCCUGCCCCCUCCCCGUCGUGCUUGAACAGUUUUCAUUUAUUUUGCUUGUGCUGGGAAAAAUAUGUUUUACAUUUCUACCAUUUUCUAUAAUUUUCUGAGAUUUAGUGUGUUAUUUUAUAUGUUAGCCAGUAGGGUCAUUUUUUUGUUGUUGUUCAAUUUGUAAUCUAAUUAGGAACUAUGCCAAUUUCCUAUCAAAUUAGAUCAGUAUAAUUUGUAUACACAUAUAUGUAGCUAACCUCCUAGUCACUCACUGGUAUUACUCUGUCCACCAACUUUUCUUUUUUAAACACUUUGUUUUUAAAAGGUAGCUUUAAUAAAGUGGGCUAACAUC
ensembl:lncRNA